rnacentral:rRNA from 1 species
UACGGAGGAUGCGAGCGUUAUCCGGAUUUAUUGGGUUUAAAGGGUGCGUAGGCGGGUUAUCAAGUCAGCGGUAAAAUCGUGGAGCUCAACUCCAUCCAGCCGUUGAAACUGAUGAUCUUGAGUGGGCGAGGAGUAUGCGGAAUGCGUGGUGUAGCGGUGAAAUGCAUAGAUAUCACGCAGAACUCCGAUUGCGAAGGCAGCAUACCGGCGCCCGACUGACGCUGAAGCACGAAAGCGUGGGGAGCAAACAGG